GUCCUCCUUUCAACAGAUAGUCUCAUCUUCAACGAGAAACACCACAACACAAACCCUCUCAAAUCCAGUGACCUAGUCAAGUUCUUUGUCUAUGUUCUCACUAAUCCUGGCACAACAAUCCCACUUCAGAUCUUUGAAUUUUGUCACCAUAAUCAUGAUGCAAGCACUCCUCCAAAUCAAAGAUUGUGCGUCAUUUACUCGGAUUCACACACUCCAGCCAUCGGCUAAAUCUCCUCUUUCUCCGCUGUCUCUAACAUCUCAGAUUCUUCCUCCACUUCAAAGAAUCUCCUCCCCCAUGGCCUCGAGAUCCAACAAAACCUUAUAUUUUUCUCUCCUUUUGUGAUUGGAUUUUGAAGUAUUAAGGGGAAUUUUGUGUCUGGGUUAGCUGAUUUUGUAGGUUUAUUAAAAUCUAUGCAAGAAGGAUUUCUCAGCUGGGUUAUGAGAUUAACCAAACGAGAGGAAGAAAAGUUCCACAAAAUAAGAAUCUCAACGUUUACUAGGUGGAGGGUGCUGAAGAUUAUCCUCGGAGAUUUGAAUCUUAAUGAGUGACAAUUUCGUUGUUUAUAAGGAGGCUGAGAACUAUGAUUGCUUGCAAGGUAUUAGGAAUAUCUGAUGCUCCUAAACGUUGGACUGAGUUUGCUGGAAAAGAAGUACAUAACUAUGUGAAGAGCACACAAUCUAAGGAGGUAAGCAUGGAAAAUAAUUAUGAUUUAGAUGCUGAAGGGGAUGUGGACAGUGAGGAAGUAGCUGUAAAGAAGAGAAGAGGCCGAAAAACCAGAGAUUAUAGGUAAAAGAAAACGUGAAAAUGGCAAACAUGAAUCUGGCAGAAAGAUGGCACAACAUAUAUAAACAUAUUCAGAGAAUGAAAGUGAUGCAAACAACUUACAUGAGGUGUCUUAAAAGUAAACACACUAAUCCACUAUCAAGCAACUACUAUAGUAUUAGUUUAUAGAUUAAGUUGAAUAGAAGUUUGGAUGGAAAACGAUUUAA